GUGGGUGUAGCUUAGUGGAAAAGCACUUGCUUAGCAUGUGCGAGGACCUGGGUUUGAUCCCCAGCACCACU
rnacentral:tRNA from 1 species